GAUGAACGCUGGCGGCGUGCCUAAUACAUGCAAGUCGAGCGAACAGACGAGGAGCUUGCUCCUCUGACGUUAGCGGCGGACGGGUGAGUAACACGUGGAUAACCUACCUAUAAGACUGGGAUAACUUCGGGAAACCGGAGCUAAUACCGGAUAAUAUAUUGAACCGCAUGGUUCAAUAGUGAAAGACGGUUUUGCUGUCACUUAUAGAUGGAUCCGCGCCGCAUUAGCUAGUUGGUAAGGUAACGGCUUACCAAGGCAACGAUGCGUAGCCGACCUGAGAGGGUGAUCGGCCACACUGGAACUGAGACACGGUCCAGACUCCUACGGGAGGCAGCAGUAGGGAAUCUUCCGCAAUGGGCGAAAGCCUGACGGAGCAACGCCGCGUGAGUGAUGAAGGUCUUCGGAUCGUAAAACUCUGUUAUUAGGGAAGAACAAAUGUGUACGUAACUAUGCACGUCUUGACGGUACCUAAUCAGAGAGCCACGGCUAACUACGUG
rnacentral:rRNA from 1 species